GGGGUUGGAGUGGGGUGGGGUAGAGUGUAGUAGGGGUGGGGGUAGGUAGGUAGGUGGGGUGUGCGGGUGGGUAAUAGGACAGGGAGGUUGAAAAAAAAAGUUAUGGAAAAUAUUUUCCUUCUCUUGAUUGUGGGUAAACAUUCCAUUGAAAAAAAAAUUCCAAGUCAAUCAAACACGAACAACAACAACAAAUCUAAGGGAGUGUAGUUUGUACGCAGACCUUACCCUAUCCAGGGUUAGAGAGGCUGUUUCCGAUAGAAACUCGGAAACCUAUCUCCAAGAACUCCCAUGAGAAAUUGGGGUGACUCAUGAGAAAAAUUGAAAAACAUUUUCCGCGCACACCCUAAAACAUUGAUUUUAGAGCCGAUUAACUGACAGAUAAACAUUACAGAAUAGUAUCAGGAUUCAGGAGCAAAAUAACACAGGAAGUGGAAAGUUGUUUUAGCAUAUAAUGAAGAAGGGAAAAUGAUGAUCCAACAGAGAAAAAAGAAAUGGACGGACCAUGGAGGAAACAAUGAGGCCCGUUUCGUUGGGAAUGCUUUUGCCAUGCCUCAGCACCCAAUAUCUGUUAACGACGCCUGCCAUUCUUUACUCUCCACUCUUCACUGCUCUUCCUUUAUUCAGCCAAUCCGGGGCGGUACUUAUAGGUAGCUCCACGACGUCGUUUUAUAUUUUUUAAUUAUUUAAUUCGACCGAAGAAUUAAGGUACAAUAUUUUAGGCACAAUGAACAAUCAGUCGCCUUUGUUCAUUAAGCAGGUAAGCGGAUCCGGG
rnacentral:lncRNA from 1 species